rnacentral:rRNA from 1 species
CCUACGGGAGGCAGCAGUGAGGAAUAUUGGUCAAUGGGCGCGAGCCUGAACCAGCAAAGUAGCGUGAAGGAUGACUGCCCUACGGUUUGUAAACUUCUUUUAUAAAGGAAUAAAGUGAGGCACGUGUGCCUUUUUGUAUGUACUUUAUGAAUAAGGAUCGGCUAACUCCGUGCCAGCAGCGGCGGUAAUACGGAGGAUCCGAGCGUUAUCCGGAUUUAUUGGGUUUAAAGGGAGCGUAGAUGGGUUGUUAAGUCAGUUGUGAAAGUUUUCGGCUCAACCGUAAAAUUGCAAUUGAUACUGGCAGCCUUGAGUACAGUUGACGUAGGCGGAAUUCGUGGUGUAGCGGUGAAAUGCUUAGAUAUCACGAAGAACCCCGAUUGCGAAGGCAGCCUACUAAACUGCCACUGACAUUGAUGCUCGAAAGUGUGGGGAUCAAACAGGAUUAGAUACCCUAGUAGUC